UACCAGCACCCCGAGUGGUCGGGACGUUUUAUUGGGCCUAAAGCAUCCGUAGCCGGUUCUACAAGUCUUCCGUUAAAUCCAACUGCUUAACAGGUGGGCUGCGGAAGAUACUAUAGAGCUAGGAGGCGGGAGAGGCAAGCGGUACUCGAUGGGUAGGGGUAAAAUCCGUUGAUCCAUUGAAGACCACCAGUGGCGAAGGCGGCUUGCCAGAACGCGCUCGACGGUGAGGGAUGAAAGCGUGGGGAGCAAACAGG
rnacentral:rRNA from 1 species